GCCGUGGGAUUGGGCAGUGAGCGGAGGCAGCGGAUCGAACGUGGGUUAGCAGAAAUAUCUCCCCCUUUCUCUCCCUCGUCUCUUCCCAUCCCGUCCCCGCUCCUCAGCUGUAGCGAUGCCUGUGACCUAACCCGCGUCUCCCCUGUGACCCCCGCCUCCUCUCCUGCCGCCGCCGCGCCCCCUUCUCCCCUUCUCCAUGCUCGCCGCCACCACCACCACCACCACCAUGUCUCUUCCGACGCCGCGUCGGCCGCUCCCCGCCUUGAACCAGCCGCCGCCAUGGAGCCGCCGCUCCCCCACCUCGAGCCAGCCGCCGCCAUGAAGCCAUGGAUCCUACGCGGGAGGAGGAGAAACGCGAAGGGGAGGAGCGGUGGUGGCGGGGUCGAGCUGCAAAGAGGCGAGAGGAGCGGUGGUGGCGGCGUCGAGCUGCGAAGAGGCGCCGCUCGGGCGCGUGCAGGUCGCUACCAUAGGAGAGCAGGGGGCGGCGUGGUCUUUGUGGUGGGCAUGGAGCUGGGGAGGAUGAGCGGGAUGGCCAUGAGUACAAUUGAGGGCGUGGCCUUGAUCCAGAGGAGGGGAGCAGCAGCCGCGUCUUUGAUCCGGUGUCGAGUGCUCUGGCUCCAUCCUCGCUCUCAGGCAAACAUCCAGCGCGCUGGCCCGUAGAGAGAUUUCUUGUUUGUGGGUGUAAUCUUUGGCUGCACAAGAUGUUGUUGAGAUCAUUGAUCGGUUUGAUCAUGCAUGUGUCCCACCUAACAUGACUGAUAAUAAGCUUGCGUACAUCCAGAAUGAGACUAUAUCCAAAGAGUGCACAAGGACUCUCACGGUUACAAAGGAUAUGAAGCAGCCAAUUUACGCCUACUACCAACUUGACAACUUUUAUCAGAAUCAUAGGAGGGUCAGGAUUCUGUACUAGACGUGAUGAGAUAAAAUGAGGUCUGAAUUUUUUAGCCAUGCUUUCUUAGCUCAUGAAGGCAGGAGCAUAUGUGAUUUUUCUGUACCACCUUCCCGCGGCUCUGAGGACUUUGUCUGCUCGCUGCCUCUCCGUUAUUUAUUUGUUGUGUCUACUGCAUUUUUUGUGCUGCCACCUUUUUCCUCAGUUGCUAGCAGGGGCCUUGGCUUAUCGUAUUGUUUGUUGCCUUCCUCUCAUAGGUUCGUUGGUAUUGUAAACCAUUUUUGUUGUAGUAAUAACUGCAAUGUCAAAUAAAUUUACAUUUCACCUUGCUUCCACUAUUAUUCAAGUUUUUUCCUGCUUAUUGGUCGUACUAGCAAGAUGGUUUUGUUUUUUUACCGUGUCUAACAUAGUGUGUUUCUAUGAUUUUUCUCUGGUAAAACAUAUCCACUUCCAUGCUCUUUUCUCUAUUGUAGUACACAAUAGUAUGGCUGCAUACUACCAAUUGCAGAAAUUAUUCAUUUGCCACUAAAAUAUAUAAUUUCCUAUUCAUAAAUUAAAUAACAACAAAGAUGAAGUUGGUCCCCGGAUGCCUAAUAUGUUCUUUCAUAUCCUUGUCAGUUUACCAGGUAAUAGAAUUAAUACUUCUUGUUGGUUCAAUAGUCAAUACCAGUAUUUUGAGAAAAUUCCUUACGGUUGUUGUAUUUUGGUAGCUUCUUCUUUUGCAAGUGGCAAAUUACUGUUAUGUAUAUGUGGAAUCCGAUUAAAGCUGUGCAUUGGUUUCAGUCAUACUUUUCUAAAUGGAGUAUAGUUCAAGGCUGUAUUGUUCAUUCAAUCAUUCCUUCUACCUUCCAAGUUAAGUAUGUCGUUGGCACACCUCAAAUUACUUCUACUUAUACAUGUAUCCAAUGUUUUACUAUUCUGGGAUUUAUCUAUUUUACUAUCAUUACUAUGUUUCAUUGACAUGGUAAUAUGAAUAGUCUCCUGUACAUAAGCCCAAGAACAUAUCAGACCUAGAACUUUUUUAAGCUUUUGAUUUGUGUUUUAUGAAAAAAAAAUACAUUCAAGUUUUGGAAUCCAUUUAGUCGUUGAUCAAGUAUGUAUCCUAAGAUCUUUCUCAAUAUUUAGUAGCCUAACAUCUUUCUCAAUGGUGCAUGUGGUUGAGCUAAAAGGGUAUUCAAAACGUGUGACUGCUUGGCUGUGGUGGAUGUUUUAGCUUUUUCACUAAUUUUCGUGUGCCAAUAAUUUGCUAGAUUAGCUUGUUGAAUUAAUUCAUUUUUUUGUGAGACAUGUACGAAUUUGCAACCUGCAGUAUAAGGAAAACAUAGUAUAUUUUGUCAUCUUUCCUGCAUAGGGAAAUUAUAUUGCUUACUUAUCUUUUGCUUUCUGAAAAUUACGCUUUGGCCUUUGACUAUGUAAAUGACUAUAUCCACUUUUAAUUGUGGUGUCUUGUAGGGCGAAAAUGUUGUUUACCAUGUGUUUUGAUUGAUUAUAUGCUUCAAGUAUGGAGCGGUUGAAAGGCAAGGGACAAGCUCCUGUGACUAAAAUACCUAGCAAAUCACCGUGCCAUAGGAAUGUUGGUCAUAGGCUCUCCACUUCGCCUUCCAAGACCAAGGGAACUACAUCAUCUGCGGCUGUGCCUAAAGAUCCUACCAAAACUGGAAAAGGCGCUUUCGCUGGAGAUUUUGUUGACCCUCCAUGUUCGAUUACACUCUUAUUGUUUCCCCUUUUGCACAUUACUCACCUGAUGAGCAUCGCCAUGUCAUGAUAGGAAACUAAGCAAGAUGUUGAUGAUGCUGCUGCUGCUGCAGCUACCGAAGAUGCGAAGAACACAAAAUUUAGGUUCUUAGAUAAAGAAAGUUCAAUGUACUAUUUGCAUCAUUGACUGUUAAUUUAACUUCUUUUCACUCAAGUACCCUGGUAUAUUAAUUCCAUGUCUGUAAUUAUAUUAUGUAUCUUAGCCCAGUUAUGGAGCUCAAAACUUGCUACAUGCAUGUUUUGUGAUUGAGAUGUUUGUGCUUUCUGGUUACACAUCUGUUAGUUUAACUCCUUGUUUUGCUUACUAAGUAUGAGUCCUCAAUUCAUGCUGCUAUGUAAAAGCCCAUAACCAAUUGAUUUUGAAUCAUUCUAACAGUAGUGUUGCUUUGUUGGACCCAUAUAGUAAAUGAUUUCAUUCAUCUUUGAAUGCCCACCUGUAUCAUAAAAAAACAGGCAAAAACAUGGUUACCAUCAUGUCCACUUCCAUACUCUGUUAAAUACUCCUCCAUGAAAAACAUAAACAAUUCUUCUUACUAAUGAACAACACCACUUACAAAAAAAAUCAGACCCCUGCUGUUCUGAAUCAUUUUAUUAUCUUCUCACGUGAUGCAUAUACGAUUACUCAUACUAUCU